rnacentral:rRNA from 1 species
GUCUCUUUGUGUGUUAUAAAUAAAGAGUUGGGCCUGCUCAGUGAUGGAAUUUAACAGCUGCGGUAUUUUAACUGUACUAAGGUAGCAUAAUAGUUUGCCUUAUAAUUUGAGGCUGGAAUGAAUGGUUUGACGAAGGUUAAUCUGUCUCUAUCUUAUUUAAUAGAAAUUAAUUUUUAAAGUGAAAAAGCUUAGAUUUUUUAAAGGGACGAGAAGACCCUAUUGAGCUUGUAAUUUUAUUUUUAUUAUAUUAUAUAAUAUAACAUGAAUUUUAAUUGGGGUGAUUAAGGAAUAAGGUAAUAGGUAAUGCAGUAACUUCCUUAAAAUUAAUGUAUGUAUAUAUUUAUGAAUUAACCAACUAUUUUGUUGCUUAUAAUAUAGUUACCAUAGGGAUAACAGCGUAAUUUAUUUAGAGAGUUCUUAUUAAAAAAUGAGAUUGCGACCUCGAUGUUGGAUUAAAGUAACCUUAGGGUGUAGAAGCUCUAGUUGGUAAAUCUGUUCGAUUUUUAAAACUUU